rnacentral:rRNA from 1 species
GACGAACGCUGGCGGCGUGCCUAAUACAUGCAAGUCGAACGCUUCUUUCCUCCCGAGUGCUUGCACUCAAUUGGAAAGAGGAGUGGCGGACGGCUGAGUAACACGUGGGUAACCUACCCAUCAGAGGGGGAUAACACUUGGAAACAGGUGCUAAUACCGCAUAACAGUUUAUGCCGCAUGGCAUAAGAGUGAAAGGCGCUUUCGGGUGUCGCUGAUGGAUGGACCCGCGGUGCAUUAGCUAGUUGGUGAGGUAACGGCUCACCAAGGCCACGAUGCAUAGCCGACCUGAGAGGGUGAUCGGCCACACUGGGACUGAGACACGGCCCAGACUCCUACGGGAGGCAGCAGUAGGGAAUCUUCGGCAAUGGACGAAAGUCUGACCGAGCAACGCCGCGUGAGUGAAGAAGGUUUUCGGAUCGUAAAACUCUGUUGUUAGAGAAGAACAAGGACGUUAGUAACUGAACGUCCCCUGACGGUAUCUAACCAGAAAGCCACGGCUAACUACGUG